GAUGAACGCUGGCGGCGUGCCUAAUACAUGCAAGUCGAGCGAGCAGACGAGGAGCUUGCUCCUCUGACGUUAGCGGCGGACGGGUGAGUAACACGUGGAUAACCUACCUAUCAGACUGGGAUAACUUCGGGAAACCGGAGCUAAUACCGGAUAAUAUAUUGAACCGCAUGGUUCAAUAGUGAAAGACGGUUUUGCUGUCACUUAUAGAUGGAUCCGCGCCGCAUUAGCUAGUUGGUAAGGUAACGGCUUACCAAGGCAACGAUGCGUAGCCGACCUGAGAGGGUGAUCGGCCACACUGGAACUGAGACACGGUCCAGACUCCUACGGGAGGCAGCAGUAGGGAAUCCUCCGCAAUGGGCGAAAGCCUGACGGAGCAACGCCGCGUGAGUGAUGAAGGUCUUCGGAUCGUAAAACUCUGUUAUUAGGGAAGAACAAAUGUGUAAGUAACUAUGCACGUCUUGACGGUACCUAAUCAGAAAGCCACGGCUAACUACGUG
rnacentral:rRNA from 1 species